rnacentral:rRNA from 1 species
CUCUAGAGGAGCCUGUUCCAUAAUCGAUAAACCCCGAUCCACCUCACCCUCUCUUGCUUAGCCUAUAUACCGCCAUCUUCAGCAAACCCUGAUAAAGGUUACAAAGUGAGCGCAAACGCCCUACCGCCGCAAAAACGUUAGGUCAAGGUGUAGCCCAUGAGAGGGUAAAAAUGGGCUACAUUUUCUACAUCAGAAAACCCCACGAAAACUCUUAUGAAACCUGAGAGUCCAAGGAGGAUUUAGCAGUAAAUUAAGAAUAGAGUGCUUAAUUGAACCAGGCCAUAAAGCGCGUACACACCGCCCGUCACUCCCCUCAAAUGUAUUUAGAGGACAUCUUAACUAAACACCCUAACAUUUACAUAGAGGGGAUAAGUCGUAACAUGGUAAGUGUACUGGAAGGUGCACUUGGAU